GACAGAGGGUGCAAACGUUGCUCGGAAUUACUGGGCGUAAAGCGCGUGUAGGCGGUUCCGCAAGUCCGGUGUGAAAGCCCAGGGCUCAACCCUGGAAGUGCACAUGAUACUACGGAGCUUGAGUACUGAAGAGGAGAGCGGAAUUCCCGGUGUAGAGGUGAAAUUCGUAGAUAUCGGGAGGAACACCAGUGGCGAAGGCGGCUCUCUGGGCAGAUACUGACGCUGAGACGCGAAAGCAUGGGGAGCAAACAGG
rnacentral:rRNA from 1 species